AUAAUCCUAUUUAAACCCAUUGGGUUUCUUUAAACCCACCAAUGUGGGACAUUUAACAGAAACCCACAUGUGUUAGGGGCCCUACCUCUAUUAGAGAAGUGGUAAUGUCAGAGAGACUAAAUUUGCAAACUAAAUGAUGUGUCACCAAUAAAAGAUAAUGCUACAUUUACCAUAUUUUUCAUACCAUGCAUAUUCGAUUUUAAUCUCACUUUUUUUUUUUUCUAGAACUCAAAAAUUCUCACAUUACUCUCUAAAACUCAAUAUUUGCUCCACUUUGCUUUGAUUCUGUCUAUUUUGUCCAAAAAGCUGUCAAAUAUGCCGACACGUAUUUAAAAGUGCAUAUGUGGUGUCCAUAUGACACGCUUUAGAUUCUCCAAAAAAACCACCGAUAGAAUCACCACUCUCGAAACCUCUCCACUAUUCCACCAAAUCUCGAUUCAUGAAACCAAUCUCUACCAUUGUUUCACUUAUCUAUGCCCUUAAGUCAUACUCCAACAAUUGGAGUAAAAUUCAAAUUUUAGCUUCUAAACCCACCCCGACUUACUCCAACCCUUGGGCCAAAACUGAGUUUUGGGUUAAAACUCAUUUUUGGGGCAAGUUUCUAUCAAGAUUUAACAUUAGGUUAGUUGGUUGGUUCACUACUGCUCGUGGACGCUCCCUAGAAGGAUACACAUUCAUAGCGCAGACGCGCCCAACACCCUCAACGUGCAAGGCACUAACAACGCGGGUCGGCCAGCAAUAUGAGCCCAAUGGCUCUUUCUUUCAUCGAAUGGUGGGGAGCAAUGGACCAUUUGUUCCAUCCUACCGUCCAGAUUCAAAUUUUGUUAAUUUUUAAUUUUAUAUUUAUAAAUUCAUUGAAUCCAACAACUGAGAUAUGAUAUGAUCAAAUCUAAUAGUAAAAAAAAAUAUCUAGCAGCCCAAAUUUAAAUCCAACUGUUAAAAUAAUUUUAAAAAACUAUUUCAAUCAAAAUUCACCUAAAAACUCAAUAAAUAAUCUCGGGCUAAAAAUUUAUUGGAAUCUAAAUUUUUUAGGUUAAAAUGUUCAUAAAAUUAAAUUAAGAUAGCCUACAUAAUUUUUAUUUAAAAGUUACUUUAAAAAAAUUAGCCUAAAUUCAUUAUUUAAUAAUCUUUGGCUAAAAAUUUAACCUAUAAGGGUUUAAGCAGAAAAACUAUUUCUGGAAUAAAAUCUAAUUUUUUUUUGGUUCAAAAUUUUAUAUUUUAACGCAAGGGUUGGAGAUGGCCUAAGCAUAAAUCCUAAAAGCUAAACCAUCGAUCGAAUUUCAAGUUAAGUUAUCAUGGAUAUGCGGCUGAAACUCAUAUUAUUAUUGUAUAUCAUAAUAUCAUAAUUUUUUAUUUGAGAAUUUUUUUUGAAGUAGAGCAAUAGCAUUAGUGAGUUAGAUAGUUAGUUAUUCGAGAGAGGAGAAUCAGGAACUAGACCCGCACCGGGGUACAUUCACAAAAUUAAUUUUCACCACUACAAUGAAGCAUUGUCAUAUCCCGGCCCAGGCCCCCACUACAUCCCGGGCUCGACUCCACUGUAGCACGAUAUUGUCCGUUUUGGGCCCGACCACGCCCUCACGGUUUUGUUUUUGAGAACUCACACGAGAACUUCCCAGUGGGUCACCCAUCCUAGGAUUGCUCUCGCACGAACUCGCUUAACUUCGGAGUUAUGAUGGAACCCGAAGCCAGUAAGCUCUCAAAAUGCCUCAUGCUAGGUAGAGAUGGGAAUAUACAUAUAAGACUUAGAGCAUCCACUCCCCUGGGCGAUGUGGGAUGUUACAAUCCACCCCGCUUAGGGGCCCGACGUCCUCGUCGGCACACUUCCGCCCAGGGAUUGGCUCUGAUACCAAAUUGUCACAUCCUAGCCCGAGCCCCCACCACAUCUCGAGCUCAACUUCGCCGUAGCACGAUAUUGUCCGCUUUGGACCCCGACCACGCCUUCACGGUUUUGUUUCUGGGAACUCACACAAGAACUUCUCAGUGGGUCACCCAUCCUAGGAUUGCUCUCGCACGAACUCGCUUAACUUUGGAGUUCCGAUAGAACCUGAAGCCAGUAAGCUCCCAAAAGGCCUCAUGUUACGUAGAGAUGCGAAUAUACAUGUAAGGUUUAGAGGAUCCACUCCCCUGGACGAUGUGGGAUGUUACAAGCGUCAUCUACUUCUGUUUUUCCAUCAUUAUGAUUAGGGGAAAAGGCCAAUGAAAUGUAAUAAAGCACGUAAAAUACUAAUGCUAUAGUAUAAAAACAUAAACAAACUAAAAUUUCCAUGAAUAUAUAUGAUUACGUGUCUGCAACAUCAAAUGUUUGUGCGUAGGGUAAGCAUUGGCUUGAAGUGGAUGGCAAAGAAUUGGGUCUCGGUAAGGUCAAACAUCUUCAGGCCAUAUAAGGACAGGAAGGGAAAAAAAAAUAAAAACCCACUUGAGGAGCUUAUAUGGUUGCCCAUGAAAGUGCUUAAUCUUUGCUUCACUCAAGAGUGAAAGUAUAAUCCAUGCAGCUGCUUUCAAACAUUAAUACAUACCUUGAAUUAUUAUGUUCAAUCUCAACAGAAAGUGAGUACUCAAAAUGAAUAAGAGCAUGUUUGAGAUUGUUUUAAAGGUUAAAAUUGUGUUUUUACAAUUAAUGAUAUUUUUUACUCCAUAUAUUUGAGUGCGGAAGAAAAUUUCAAAAGUGCUUUAGGAUUAUAAAAAACUUGAGAGUGCUUCUUACUUUAACGUGUUUCUAAUAAAACAAUUUUGUGCAAGCGCUUCAUAGGAUAAAUAUUCUAUAGAGUCACAACUUUGCCUAGCUUGUUACAAUGGUCCAUUAGAAUUGUAGGCUACCAAUUCUCACACAACCUAACAAAUUUUUUUUUAUUAAUAAUGGGUUUGGAGAGUUAAUUGUUGAAUCAUGAUUGAUAGGAUGGAGAAAUGAUAAAUACUAGGUUGAAUGUAAAAAGGAAAUAACUACCACUACCAUAAAAUUAUUUAGUAGCAGUUGAAUGUAAAAAGGAAAUAACUACCACUACCAUAAAAUUAUUUAGUAGCAGUUACCAACUUUUGUAUUCUUUGUGAUCUUCUCUUUUCAUUCAACAUACUUAUGGUUUCAUGAUAUUCAAAUUACACACUCACACAUAUGUAUAUUAGAAAUGCUUAGUCUACCCCACCCUUCUAAAAUAAGAGAGUAUAAAUAUCCUUUAAUCGAACCAUAUUUUUGUAAUGCAAUCACAUCCACGCAUUACAUCUUACCUUACCAAUGUAUGACUUUAAUGUAAAAAUCAAUUGUUAAAGUAAUAAAAUGUCAUUUUGUCUUGUUAACAAUACUCUUACAAUUAUAGUGUAACAUUGAUAGUCUUGUAAUUCAGACGUCGAAUGCUGACUUCAUGUUGUAACAUUAUUACUAGGAAGGGAGUCCACGAGCAAAUAACGAUACUAAUAAUGACUUACAUUUAUAUCGUAACAAGACGUUCAUGGUUUAAUAAUCAACGUUGAUAAACAAUAUAUGUCAGUAAAAUCUAUAAUUAUGUAAAUUUCAACAAUAAAUUUUGAAGAUUAUAAUGUAAUUUUUUUUCAAAUCAAAGGACAACGGUAAUCCUCGGUAAAGGGUACCAUAUAAUUUAUCUUUAGAAACCAAUAGUAAAUUUAUUCAUUUAUUAAUUAAUUAAGGUUCAAUGUCAAUCAAGGCCAUCUGAUCCUCAUAAAUCAUGUUUCCAACAGCUUCUUUUAUGGAAAUAUUGUGUUGCAGUGGUCCUGAAUUUUGUCAGAAUAUAUCAAGGGGUGUGCAAAUGUGCAUACUAAAUUAGGGAAGUCUUGCUUGAGUUUUAAUGUGCCUACUAUAUACAUACACUCUCUGGUAAAUUGACAGAUAUGACCUCCUGAAAUGAAAUGACUCGAUUGAUAAGAUUUUACCUUAUUUUUCAGCGGGAAUUGUAUUCGUGGGUUGUAGGAAUCGUGUCAAUCACUCUCUCGUGAUGGACUUGUCACUUGGAUUAGGAUUAAGAUUCUGAUCAGCUGCAUUUCUUGUCAUGAAAAAAUGUCCAUUACCGUGAUGAAAAAAGAAAACUGUCCUUUACAUAUUUUUAUAUUUUUGUUUUAUAAAGAAGAAAAAUUCUUUGAGGUUUUUAAAAGUGUGACUGCUACUUCUUCUUUUUUUUUUAUAAUAUUUCAUAAUGUCGACAUAGAAAUUUACGUACAAUUGUGAGGUGGCAAAGAGUGAGAGAGUCAGGCCCGGCCCAAGCCCAGUGCGGGCAGGGCGACCGUUUGGGGCUCAAAAAAAUUGAAGGUAUCAAAAUUAUUAGGGUGAUAUAUUUAUAUAUGUUUUUAUAAGAGUAUAAAUUUAUAAAAUUUGGUUUAGUGACAAAGAAAUUUAAUUAGAACCGGUGGUUUUGUUGUUUAAAAUUAAUAAGGAGGUCUUACGUUCAAAACACCAUGUGUGCUUAUUUACAUUCCAUUUUUUACAAAUUUCUUUUCAUAACAGUAUAAAUUUAUACAAUUUGGCUAAAUGAUCAAGAAGUUUAAUUAGAAGCAAUGGUUUUUGUUGUUUAAAAUUAACGAGAGGUCCUAAGUUUGAAAUGUUAUGUGCAAGUUUAUUUUUUUUUCAAUUUUUACAAAUUUUUGUUUGGUUGUUAAUUUAUUUACUAGCUAGUAGCUAUGUGGGUUGCUAUUUUUAAAUAUCCGUUCCAAUUCAAGUCUAAUCUUCAACAAAGAGUAACGCGUAGACUAAAUACCAAAUUUGCAAAUAAUAUUACGUGUCAUCAAAAGGUUUAAUUUAGUGUUCAUUCAUUACUUAUACAUAUCCUUAAAGACUUGAAAACAUUUUUUUUUUUAGUCUUAUAUUGACGAGGUUAGUAAAUAAGAAAAAAUACCUCACGAUUUAUACAAAAACACUUUAAAAGUUCAGAUAAAAAACAAUACUCAUAAUCUAUCUACUUGUAAGCCCGAAAUUUUUUGGUUUCCUUCUCUCGAUACAAAAUAAAUUAGUUAUUCCAUGUUUCUAAAUUAUUGAGUUUGAAGUGUUUUUUUAAAUAUAAUUUUAUCGAUGUCUUACAUGUGAAAACAAAUAAUUUUUUUAUAUGAAGUGUUUUUUUAAAUAGGAUUAUCUUACUCUAACUAAUACCGAGGUCUUUUGUGCUAAAACCCCACACCUAACUGAUUGGGCAGGUGGUAAAGGUAGGGACAGUAUCGGUGUCGUUAGAGUGGGGCGAGCCCGGCGAGAGAGUGUUAAAUGUCCCACAUCGGUGGGUUCAAAGAAACCUAAUGGGUUUAAAUAGGAUUAUUCUACUCUAACUAAUACCGAGGUCUUUUGUGGUAAAACCUCACACCUGACGAAUUGGGCAUGUUGUAAAGUUAGGGACAGUAUCGGUGUCGUUAAAGUGAGGCGGGCCCGACGAUCCAAAAAUCCAACAUCAUAUUUAAACCCUUUUGGUUUUCUUGCACCCACCGAUGUGGGACUUUAACACUCCCCUUCAUGUGUAACCCUAUUUAGUGGUUCACACGUGGAGAUCCAUAUCGGUAAUUGAAACUCAGAAGUCGACUCCUAUUGGGCCCACUUGUUUUCAAUGGAACUCAAUGGUCGUCUCUAUAUUAAGAGUUCAAACUAGUUUCCUUUUGGGUGACAAGCUCAUUGGCUUGCACGGGCCCAAACCGUGGGCUUUGAUACCAUGUUGGAUUUUUGGAUUGCUAGGCCCACCCCACUCUAACGACACCGAUAUUGUUCCCAACUUUACCGCCUGCCCAAUCCGUCAGGUGUGGGGUUUUACCACAAAAGGCCUCAGUAUUAGUUAGAGUAGGAUAAUCCUAUUUAAACCCACCAAUGUGGGACAUUUAACAGAACCCACAUGUGUUAGGGGCCCUACCUCUAUUAGAGAAGGGGUAACGUCAGGGAGACUAAAUUUGCAUACUAAAUGAUGUCACCAAUAAAAGAUAAUGCUACAUUUUCAUGUGUUGUUAAAUUUUUUAUUUAGUUGAUUUGAUAAACAAAAAGUAUUUAUAUGCUAAUGAAAUAUUUAGUUCUACGAACAACCGUUGCAUGCCUUAAAGCCUUCUUUGGGCAUCAAGGUUGGGUCUGAAUUGUGUUGAGGUGAAAGGGGAUACACAUAUACUCAUCAACAUCAUUAUUCAUUAAUGGCAAAUCACAACUUCCUUGGAGAAUUACGUCCAACAUUCAAGAUCUCAUCUACCCUAAGAGCAAGUUCUCACAAAUAUACUGCUCACACAUAUCUUCCGAAAAGACAACAUAAUGGCUAAUGCACUAAACUUAAGUACCAUAAUUAUAUUUGGUUUUUACAGUUUCUUAGUCUCAGUGCGCUUUACAAAAUACUCGUACUAGGAUUAUAAAAUCUCUAAAUAGUUCUAGAGGAGCCUCUAGUUGAAAAAUGUGAAACAAUCAUAUAUUGCCUCACCAAAAACUCUAGAACAUAAAUAUGUAUCGAUUGCAGGUGAAUGGUAAACCCAUUUCAAAUGCUAGAUUCUCCGAUCAAAGAAUAUAAGUACCGAUUCCAGGUGAAUGAUAAACCCAUUUUAAAUGCUAGAUUCUCCGAUCAAAGAAUCUAAAUAUCAAAAUAAGGCACAAAACAGAAACGGAAAAGAAUGGUAGAGUAAGAUCUGCAAAAAUCUGAUCCUAAUAUGAUACUUGUGCAUUUUUGGGUUUAACCGUGAAUUUGGAUUACAGAUUAAUAAAGGGGUUCAAAGGAUCAUAUGCAGGGCAUCAAUUAUCUAUUUACGAGACCAAAUUUGACUUAAGAUUCUUAAAUGUGAUUACAAGUUGAGAUAAUUGUGAUUAUAUAUCAUAAUAUGUUGAUGGUGGGGCAUCAUGUGUAUGGAUGACACCCCCGUGAUUCAUUGUCUAGAAUCAUAUAUGAAUUAUCAUACGCAAUUUGAUCACUUUAAUUUAUUUUUUCACAAGUGCUUUUGAGUAUCUUUCAAUUUUCAAAAGAAAACAGAUGGGACUUAAAAUAAAUAAAAAAUCACAAGAGGAUUCUGCAGUGGAAUAUAUAUGUAAUUGUAUAAUAUGUGGCCGUACAGACCUCGUGUCUACAAAACUCAUUAAUUUUAUGAAACAAAAUUCUG
rnacentral:lncRNA from 1 species